GAUGAAGAACGUAGCGAAAUGCGAUAAGUAAUGUGAAUUGCAGAAUUCAGUGAAUCAUCGAAUCUUUGAACGCACAUUGCGCCCCUUGGUAUUCCGAGGGGCAUGCCUGUCCGAGCGUCAUUAUAACCCCUCAAGCUCAGCUUGGUGUUGGGGCCUGCUGCACUGGCAGCCCUUAAAAUCAGUGGCGGCGCCAUCUGGCUCUAAGCGUAGUAAUUCUUCUCGCUAUGGAGUCCUGGUGGAUGCUUGCCAUCAACCCCCAAUUUUUCUAUGGUUGACCUCGGAUCAGGUAGGGAUACCCGCUGAACUUAAGCAUAUCAAUAAGCGGAGGA
rnacentral:misc_RNA from 1 species